ACAAUUUAUAAAUGAAACACCUAUUUUGAGUGCUUUAUGUACCCAUUAAUCAAAACGUCCGGUUAACCUGCACGUAGGCCUUUAAUUUGCAAUCCUCUCGGUUAUUCCCCCCUACACAAGGGGGCGCAGUUGAGCUAGGCCUACAUUAGUUAUCGUAUAACAGUCCACGGAAUAAACAUUCUGUAUCCCGGACACGAGGGGGCAGUGUUGGCUACAUCUGUCAAGACCAUAUUUUCAAGAUGUCCCCCAUUGUAUAAAUGUCUAUAUACAACAGACGUAGCAUGUGUAUAUAUACAACAGACGUAUCAUAUGUCUAGAUGCAACCAUAUUUAUCAUUUAUUUUAAAUGACUAUCUUCAACUGAAGGAUUUGUCUGUCAGAUCAGUUGUGGAAGCAACAUGUGCUUACAUAUAUCAUAAGCAGAUUUCUGUUUGCAACACAGAUUACAAUGCUGGGACGCUGGUUUUUACUGCCGUGCUCUCUGUUUCACUCUGUUAAGGUUGACAGAGUAUUAAG